UGGUUGGUUCCUUUCAUUGGUA
rnacentral:siRNA from 1 species